rnacentral:rRNA from 1 species
ACACCCGGUCCCAUUCCGAACCCGGUAGUUAAGCCCUUCUGCGCCGAUGGUACUGCACUGGUUACGGUGUGGGAGAGUAGGUCGCCGCCGAAC